UGUAUUACUAAGGCGCCCGUACCGCAAACCGACACAGGUAGAUGAGGAGAGAAUCCUAAGGCCAACGGGAGAAGGGUUGUUAAGGAACUCGGCAAAUUGACCCCGUAACUUCGGGAUAAGGGGAGCCGGCCAAGGCCGGCCGCAGUGAAUAGGCCCAAGCAACUGUUUACCAAAAACACAGGUCUCUGCUAAAUCGAAAGAUGACGUAUAGGGGCUGACGCCUGCCCGGUGCCGGAAGGUUAAGAGGAGAGCUUAGCGCAAGCGAAGGUUUGAAUUGAAGCCCCGGUAAACGGCGGCCGUAACGAUAACGGUCCUAAGGUAGCGAAAUUCCUUGUCAGGUAAGUUCUGACCCGCACGAAUGGCGUAAUGAUUUGGGCACUGUCUCAACAGCCCGCCCGGCGAAAUUGUAGUACUGGUGAAGAUGCCAGUUACCCGCAACUAGACGGAAAGACCCCAUGGAGCUUUACUGUAGCUUAAUACUGAAGAUCGGUAAUGCAUGUACAGGAUAGGUGGGAGCCAGCGAAACCGGGCCGUCAGGUUCGGCGGAGGCAACCUUGGAAUACCACCCUUGUAUUGCUGGUUUUCUAACCUGCGGCCGUGAAUCCGGUCGGGGGACACUGUUAGGCGGGCAGUUUGACUGGGGCGGUCGCCUCCAAAAGAGUAACGGAGGCGCUCAAAGGUUGGCUCAGCACGGACGGAAAUCGUGCACAGAGUGCAAACGCAUAAGCCAACUUGACUGCGAGACCGACGGGUCGAGCAGGUACGAAAGUAGGAGUUAGUGAUCCGGUGGUAUGUGAGUGGAAAUGCCAUCGCUCAACGGAUAAAAGCUACCCUGGGAUAACAGGCUGAUCUCCCCCAAGCGUCCACAGCGACGGGGAGGUUUGGCACCUCGAUGUCGGCUCGUCACAUCCUGGGGCUGAAUUCGGUCCCAAGGGUUCGGCUGUUCGCCGAUUAAAGUGGCACGCGAGCUGGGUUCAGAACGUCGUGAGACAGUUCGGUCCCUAUCUGUUGCGGGCGUAGGAGAUUUGAAGGGAGCUGUCCUUAGUACGAGAGGACCGGGAUGGACUGACCUCUGGUGCACCAGUCGUCGUGCCAACGGCACAGCUGGGUAGCUAUGUCGGGACGAGAUAAACGCUGAAGGCAUCUAAGCGUGAAACUCCCCCUAAGAUAAGAUCUCCCAUCCUUUAUGGAGUAAGGGUCCAUGUAGACUACAUGGUUGAUAGGCCGGCGGUGUAAGCGCAGUAAUGUGUUCAGCCUACCGGUACUAAUAGCCCGAGGGCUUGAUCAA
rnacentral:rRNA from 1 species